GACGAACGCUGGCGGCGUGCUUAACACAUGCAAGUAGGACGCAGUUGCGAACGGGUGAGUAACGCGUAGGUAACUACCUAUUAGAGGGGGAUAACUAUUGGAAACGAUAGCUAAUACCGCAUACUAGUAGAUGGACCUGCGUUGUAUUAGCUAGUAGGUAGGGUAAUGGCCUACCUAGGCAACGCUACAUAGCCGACGUGGGAGGGUGAUCGGCCACAAUGGGAGUGAGACAAGGGCCAGGAUCCUACGGGGGGGAGCAGGAGGGAAUCUUCGGCAAUGGGGGGAACCCUGACCGAGCAACGCCGCGUGAGUGAAGAAGGGUUUCGGAUCGUAAAGCUCUGUUGUUAAGGAAGCGGUACUUAACCAGAAAGGGUCGGCUAACUACGUGCCAGCAGCCGCGGUAAUUC
rnacentral:rRNA from 1 species